rnacentral:rRNA from 1 species
AACGAACGCUGGCGGUGUGCCUAACACAUGCAAGUCGAGCGCAAAAAGGGCAACCUGAGUAGAGCGGCGCACGGGUGCGUAACACGUGGGUAAUCUGCCUUAGAGUCGAGGAUAACCUUCCGAAAGGUUGGCUAAUACUCGGUAAGCUUACGGUGUCUUCGGACGCUGUGGGAAAAGUAGGCCUCUGUUUACAAGCUUACGCUCUGAGAUGAGCCCGCGGCCCAUCAGCUAGUUGGCGGUGUAACGGACCACCAAGGCAACGACGGGUAGCUGGUCUGAGAGGACGAUCAGCCACACUGGAACUGAGACACGGUCCAGACUCCUACGGGAGGCAGCAGUGGGGAAUUUUCCACAAUGGGCGAAAGCCUGAUGGAGCAACGCCGCGUGUGUGAUGAAGGUUUUCGGAUCGUAAAGCACUUUCGACCGGACGAAAAACCUCUGGCUAACAUCCAGGGGCCUGACGGUACCGGGAGAAGAAGCACCGGCUAACUCUGUGCCAGCCGCCGCGGUAA